CCUACGGGUGGCAGCAGUGGGGAGUAUUGGACAAUGGGCGAAAGCCUGAUCCAGCCAUGCCGCGUAUGUGAAGAAGGCCUUCGGGUUGUAAAGCACUUUCAGUGGGGAAGAAAGCCUUGGGGCUAAUACCCUCGAGGAAGGACAUCACCCACAGAAGAAGCACCGGCUAACUCCGUGCCAGCAGCCGCGGUAAUACGGAGGGUGCGAGCGUUAAUCGGAAUUACUGGGCGUAAAGCGCGCGUAGGCGGUCUGAUAAGCCGGUUGUGAAAGCCCCGGGCUCAACCUGGGAACGGCAUCCGGAACUGUCAGGCUAGAGUGCAGGAGAGGAAGGUAGAAUUCCCGGUGUAGCGGUGAAAUGCGUAGAGAUCGGGAGGAAUACCAGUGGCGAAGGCGGCCUUCUGGACUGACACUGACGCUGAGGUGCGAAAGCGUGGGUAGCAAACAGGAUUAGAUACCCUGGUAGUC
rnacentral:rRNA from 1 species